UGGAGAAGGUUAGCAGGGCCAGCUAUAGGAUGUGUCGCUCAUUCUCCACAUGGAACCAGUGGGCUAGUGUGAACAUAUUUUCAUGGUGAUGCUAAAAAUACAAAAAUAUAAGCACACAAAUCUUAUGGCGGCUUAGUCUCUGAAAUUUGCAACACUUCUACUUCAGUCCCUUGGACAAUACAACGAAACAUCUUCAACUAUGAUGGCUUCUGGUUCUUCUGGCAUAUUAUUUCAAUCUAAAAAAAGAGAUGAUGAAAAAGACUAAAAAUAAGGAAAAAGUGAGACCGAGAUAGAAGAGGUAUAAGACGGGGUUUCACCGUGUUACCCAGGCUGGUCUCGACCUCCUGAACUCAGGCAGUGCGUCCACCUCGGCCUCCCAAAGUGUUAGGAUUACAGGUGUGAGCCACUGCACCCGGCCCCCACUCAGUCUUUUAGACAUGGGUGAGUGUUUUUGUCUGCUCAGGCUACCAUAACAAAAUACGACAGACUGGGCAGCUUAAACAACAGAAAUUAAUUUUCUCUCAGUACUGCAGACAGGCAGUUCAAGAUCAAUGAUUUGCCAGCAGUGUUGGUUUCUUUGCGUCCUCACAUGACAGAGAGAGUGAGCUCACUGGUUUCUCUUCUUAUUACCUCAUUUAUUGUCAAUUACCUCCUAAAGGCCCUGUCUCCAAAUACAGUCACAUUGCGGGUGUGAAAGGGGAAUAAAUCUUGGGGCCCCAAAAUCACCAAGCUAAAGGGAAAAGUCAUGCUAGACACUGCUUAGGGCAAACCUGCCUCCCAUUCUACUCAAAGUCAUCCCUCUGAUCACUGAGAUAAAUGGCUAUCUGACUGCAUUUAUCUCUGAUAAUGCAUAAUCCCUGAUCUCCCAAAAUUUCAUCAAGAUCUAAAGUUUAUUUUGCUGUACAACUUCUUUUUUUGAAGUUUUACUUGCUUCCAACACAAGGAAGGCAAGUUUUCCCACUUCCAUAAUUUUGGAAGGCAGGUAACUCCUUAUGGAGUUUAAGCUGACUUCUAACAGGGAAGACAAGUUUCGUUUUUUUUCUGCUCCUAGGAUGGUAGAGAGCAGUCUUCCGUCUGAGACCCAUCCCUAGAGUCAAGGAAACUUUUUUUAAGCUAUUCACAGCUUUUAACAACUUAGUAUACUCCUAAGAACAAAAUGUGGAGCAUAUCUCUCUUUACGUGAUUUCUCCAGAAUUUGGAAACUAUUUAACAGAAAAUUGAGGCCCAAAGAGAUCAAGUAACUUACCCUGUCCCUAAUUAGUAAUGGAGCUAGGACUCAGACCAUGACCUAGAGAGUAGGACACACGAGGAGACAUCAGGGGCAGGUGUACACAGAGAAGUGACCAUGUGAAGUGGCAGCAAGAGGGCUGCCGUCUGCUAGCUAAGAAGAGAGGCCUCCAAGGAAACCAACCCUUCUGCACAUUCAUCUCAGACU